GUCUUUUCUUGGUUAGUUCCUUAUAUUUUUGAGCUAUUUACGUUAUUUUUGUGUUUAUAGGAUUUGUUAUGCAAAGAAAAUAAAAAUAGAACAAGUGAAAUUUUAUUCGUGAAAAGCAAAUUUAAAUUACAAUUUUGCUAACCCAUUGUGACGCUAAAUGGUAAACCAAUAUUUAAACUAUAUAUUUCAUCAUUUUAUAUUUGUUUUCUUGUCUAAUUUAUUUGGAAGCUUUAAGUAUUUAUGAUACUUUUGAUAUAUUGUGUUUGUAGGAGUAACAUGAUCCAAAGAACUUAUUUUUCUGCUAUGUGGGGCUGCUAGAAACUAAAUGAAAAUAAAAGGAGAGCAUCGGGAGGAGAAUAUAGAGGAAAGCAAGCUGCCUUUGCAGCUGGAGGAAAGCAGGUCAGCGACAAAGGGAUCCAAGGAAGUCAGAAGAAUUAGGGGACAGCAACUGGCAAAGCAGAGGAAAUGGAGGAGUCCACACGGGGGACGGAAAAAGAAUCCAAAGAAGGUGUGCGAGAAUAAAAGAAGUCAGACGAACGGGUGAGAA
rnacentral:lncRNA from 1 species